GCUUGUCUCAAAGAUUAAGCCAUGCAUGUCUCAGUAUAAGCUUUUACACGGCGAAACUGCGAAUGGCUCAUUAAAACAGUUAUCGUUUCUUUGGUGGUUAUUGAUUACAUGGAUAACCGUGGUAAUUCUAGAGCUAAUACAUGCGCCCAGACCCAACUUUUAGGAAGGGUUGUAUUUAUUAGAUCAAAACCAAACGGCUUCGGCCGUCUCAUUGGUGACUCUGAAUAACUUUGGGCUGAUCGUAUGGCCUUGUGCCGACGACGUUUCCUUCGAAGGUGUGCCCUAUCAACUGUCGACUGUGAUAUAGACGCUCACAGUGGUUUUGACGGGUAACGGGGAAUCAGGGUUCGAUUCCGGAGAGGGAGCCUUAAAAACGGCUACCACAUCCAAGGAAGGCAGCAGG
rnacentral:rRNA from 1 species